rnacentral:rRNA from 1 species
UACGGAAGGCAGCAGUGGGGAAUAUUGCACAAUGGGCGCAAGCCUGAUGCAGCCAUGCCGCGUGUAUGAAGAGGGCCUUCGGGUUGUAAAGUACUUUCAGUCGUGAGGAAGGUGUUAAGGUUAAUAACCUUAGCAAUUGACGUUAGCGACAGAAGAAGCACCGGCUAACUCCGUGCCAGCAGCCGCGGUAAUACGGAGGGUGCGAGCGUUAAUCGGAAUUACUGGGCGUAAAGGGCACGCAGGCGGUUAAUUAAGUUGGAUGUGAAAUCCCCGGGCUUAACCUGGGAAUGGCAUUCAAGACUGGUUAGCUAGAGUCUUGUAGAGGGGGUUAGAAUUCCAUGUGUAGCGGUGAAAUGCGUAGAGAUGUGGAGGAAUACCGGUGGCGAAGGCGGCCCCUGGACAAAGGCUGACGCUCAUGUGCGAAAGCGUGGGGAGCAAAC